AAUAAAGAAUUCAUAAAAUAAAGAAAUUUCUUUAUUUUUCCCAAAAAGGAAAACGAAAAACAAUCGAGAGAAAAAAAAAAACUAAAAAAAAUCUUUCUCCAUCGCGUCUCUUUUCUUCUCCGUUCCUUAUUUUUCAAGUUCUUUUUGAGAAGGAAGACUACUGCAGUUGUUUUGUAGGAGGAUUUGUCUGGAGCUGCUGCUGGUGUUUAAAUUAGGGUUUCAAUUUUGAGGGACUGUUGAAUGGAUGUUAUGACAUGAUGGUGAUGGUGUUUGUGGCUAUUUUUCAUCAUGAUUGGUAAGGUUUUAUUAUCUUAUGAGUAGUAUUAUGUGUGCGUAGGCUAGCAAAUCCCUGUGGUGGCAGAAGUAUGCUCCCUUUUGUGAAGAAGUGUCCAGGUGCAUCUCUGAGGAUUGUAAAUUUUGAGCAUGUUGUACUGCUAAAAUGGUAGUUUUCUCUUGCUAAGAAUUCUUUGGCACCUAUGUUUGCGUUUCCAAAUUAAAGAUUGCUAUUAUCCUGUGGUGAACCCAUGUCCUGUGGUGGCAGAAGUAUGCUCCCUUUUGUGAAGAAGUGUCAAGUUCAGCUGGUGAUCUACAUGAUAUGGCCUCCCUGACUUUUGAAACUGAGUUGUUUGGUAUUCUGAGGCUGAUAUACUUUGAUAGGGAAUCUGAAAAAGGGAGUAAUUCUUUUGCCAUGCAAUUCUCAAAAGGAUCAGAUACGAUUCAUAAUUUGUUGGUAAACCCUAACCCUAAUGUGUGUUGAUUUUAUUUUCGAGGUAAGUUAUUUUCUCAAAAAAACAUCUAUUCCAGUUAUUUUAUCCGCCACAUCCCUUCCUCUUCCUCGCUCUUUCUUAGUCCCCUCCCGGCUUCUACCUAUUUUUAAUCGUUAUGCUUUCUUUUUCGUUCUGCCAAUUGAGUUAUUUUCCUCUUCGUAUAUUGUAAUAUUGAUUCAGUGUUUUAUUGAUUUGUUAACAGCUGCGAAACGAGAAUUCUCAACCAGGUACGAUUUUACUGAAACGGAUAGUUUGGAUCUAUUCUGCAGGUUGGCAAGGAAAGGCAAGGCUUUUAAAGACCUGGAAGUAUGGAAACCUUAAAACCAAUGAGCUACAUGGAAUGAAUAUGAAUGAACUUAAUGGAUGAUAAAGGAUAGACCUGAAGGUAACUUUGUGCGAAAAUGGAGCAAAUCAGUAGAGUGGGAGGUGACAAACGAACAUGGAAGCGCGCCGAUAAUUGUUAUAAUCACUGCAACGUUCGUGAAAGAGGUUCAAGGUGCUCAGAAAGAAAGGGGAUAUGGUCAUACAGAUGCCAUGACUUAUGCCUUGCUUGAGGUUUAUUACACAAGUUUGUCGUUGACAUAUAUGGAAUGCUUCAAUGGAAGGUUGAACCUUCGAUAUCUGCAGAAAAACCUACUUCAGCAAUAGUUCUUUGCUUCAACUGAAAGGCUGAAGGUUGUUAGACAAAUGAUAAUGACUGGAGCGCUGGAACACAGAAAAGUUGCAUAGGACUUGCAUUUUUCCUACCAGCUAUCUAACUUAAAUGGGAUCUUCAUAUCUUAAAAGUCUAUUGCUGUUACUUCAAAUUCUUAAAAGUCUGUCUGUUACUUAGAAAUAUGAAGUCCUAGAUCUGCCAAAUCUAUUGCUGGAUUGAAAUUUUUUCUCAUGUAAUGCAGGAAGCAUUUUGGAGGGUGUAUGAAUGGAAGUUCAUGAAUUGCCUUGAGUUUUGAACAAGUGUUGUCUGUGCAUACAGUUCUGAACCUGACUUCCGGCCCUUGGCUUAUCUCUUUGCUCAAUCACGUUGCUUCUUCUUUGGGUACUUUCAUUCCUGAAUUUUUACUGACGAUGAACAACCAUCCAUAUUAAAGCGUACUACGGAUUCUGGUGAUGAUGUCCAUGCGGUUUCUGGAAUUGAUGCGCAGUUACUCAUUAAGAAAUUAAUGCACACACUAUGAAAUUAGAAUAACACAUUAGUAGUUUGUUCUUUUCCCUGUUUUUAUAACUUCUGUGGUAGUUCAAAUAGUUAGGACAGCCAAUACGUUAGGAUUCCAUGUUUAUUAAUGCUUGCACUCUGAAGUGCAACUAUCAUUCAUCUAUUGCAGUCCAAUUAUUCUGUCAUUUCUACAAUAUUAUGCAUUGUUUACCUAUUGAAUAGGCUCUA